AGGAUAAUAGUUUAUAUAAAACAUUUGAUUUGCAUUCAAAAAAUAUUAAUUUUUUAAUUUAUCUUAA
rnacentral:tRNA from 14 species